AUGAACCUGUAGCCGGAAACUACUAUCCAUUAAGUUUCUCAGCACUAGUUCACAUGAAAAAUGGUUUGAACUGUUUAAGGUUCUUAUUGACGCCGGUAUGAUGUUGUUUUUCAGCUAAAUCUUGGGAUGUUUACAUCGGAUAACAAACCUGAAUUCUAUCUUGGUUGAUCGCGCCAUUGGAGGAUCCAGCAUUAAAGAUGGAGAAGUAGAGCUGAUGCUUCACAGAUUCGAGGAAAUUAUUAUGUGAGCAUCAACCGAGUAGGGGAUGGAGCUCUCUGGCGCAGGACAACUGGACAAGAAGUUUACUCUCCACUUGUUCUGGCUUUUACUCAUGAAAAAUUGGAGGACUGGACUGCAUCUCAUGUGACAAAAACACCUUCCAUGGAUCCAAAUUACAACUUGCCUCUCAAUGUUGCUCUAAUUACUCUUCAGGUGACU